UACGAGGGGUCCUAGCGUUGUUCGGAAUCAUUGGGCGUAAAGGGUGUGUAGGUGGCUAUGUAAGUCAGGGGUGAAAGCCCCGGGCUCAACCCGGGAAGUGCAUCUGAUACUGCGUAGCUUGAGUACCGAAGAGGAUAGUGGAAUUCCAGGUGUAGUGGUGAAAUACGUAGAUAUCUGGAGGAACACCGGUGGCGAAGGCGGCUAUCUGGUCGAGUACUGACACUGAGACACGAAAGCAUGGGGAUCAAACAGG
rnacentral:rRNA from 1 species